CUCUAGUCCAGAGGAGAAAAGGAUAAUAAAUACAACACUAAACACCAUGGAAUACUUCUCAAGUCACCAAAAAGAGGCAUCCGGCUUAGAGCAGUGUGCGGUCGGCCAGCAAAGGGAUGACUCAAUGCUUGGACCUUCCUGACCUUCCCCUCUCAGCUUCUUGUCUGCCGCUGCCUGUGACCUGAUCAUCACAUGAGGCGUUUUCCUGCCACUCUCUGUCUGUCUCUCUCUCAGAUGUCUGUCAAUUAAAACAAAACAUUACCUGGGGGCAGGUAAUGUCUUUCUCCAGAUCUUCGAAAGGGAAGGACCUAGGAACUGAAGCCAGACCCCCACCUCUGCAAGAGUUCCUUGC